rnacentral:rRNA from 1 species
AUACGGAGGGUGCAAGCGUUAUUCGGAAUCACUGGGCGUAAAGGACGCGUAGGCGGGUUGGCAAGUCAGAUGUGAAAUCCUACAGCUUAACUGUAGAACUGCAUUUGAAACUGCUAACCUAGAGUAUGGGAGGGGGAGAUGGAAUUAGUGGUGUAAGGGUAAAAUCCGUAGAUAUCACUAGGAAUACCGAAAGCGAAGGCGAUCUCCUGGAACAUAACUGACGCUAAGGCGUGAAAGCGUGGGGAGCAAACAGGAUUAGAAACCCCAGUAGUCC